GACGAACGCUGGCGGCGUGCUUAACACAUGCAAGUCGAGCGGUAAGGCCUUUCGGGGUACACGAGCGGCGAACGGGUGAGUAACACGUGGGUGAUCUGCCCUGCACUUCGGGAUAAGCCUGGGAAACUGGGUCUAAUACCGGAUAUGACCUCCUAUCGCAUGGUGGGUGGUGGAAAGAUUUAUCGGUGCAGGAUGGGCCCGCGGCCUAUCAGCUUGUUGGUGGGGUAAUGGCCUACCAAGGCGACGACGGGUAGCCGACCUGAGAGGGUGACCGGCCACACUGGGACUGAGACACGGCCCAGACUCCUACGGGAGGCAGCAGUGGGGAAUAUUGCACAAUGGGCGAAAGCCUGAUGCAGCGACGCCGCGUGAGGGAUGACGGCCUUCGGGUUGUAAACCUCUUUCAGCAGGGACGAAGCGCAAGUGACGGUACCUGCAGAAGAAGCACCGGCUAA
rnacentral:rRNA from 2 species